rnacentral:lncRNA from 1 species
AGAUAUUGAUAAAAUAGAUUAAUAAUCCAUAGAAUAGUCAAUUCAGGAAGAUGGAUGGUUAAAUUAGUUAUUAAAAGUAGUUAUUAUAGGAUUACAAUUAGAAUCUAGAAAUCAGUAGCAAUUAUACAGGAGUUGUAGAAGUUUGUUGGGAUGCCAGACUAAGAAAGUCAUGAACCGGGGUUAAGCUUGGUGCUACCUCUUUGUUUUCUUUGUUUUCUUUGUUUUCUUUGUUGUUGAAGAGUAAUGGAUAUUUUUUGAAUACUAAGAAGUGAGUCUGUGGAA